GUUUUUAAAAGGAAAAAAAGUGCUGAUGCUGGAAACAGAUGUAGCCACCGUUAAAGGUGAAAAGUUGCAAAAGAAGGCUUCAGACAGUUAUUUGAUUUAUAUCUGUGUGCAAAGGUAAACCAUAGCUAACUAAAACCGAUUUGGAGCGAAGUUCGUAAAGGCAUAUUUUAAAACGCAGUAAUUUCUACAAUUUUUGUCAAAAUUUGAUCGAAAUCAAUCAACGUCCUUCUUACAUACAAACAAGAAAAAAUUGUCUUCAAAAAAAUACUAUUUUUGAAAUUUGGACAACGAUUUUCGAUUCAAAAUUAUAAUCUUAAAAAUAUUAAAUAGUGAAAUAUUUGGGGAGUAAUU